rnacentral:rRNA from 1 species
GGUGAACGCUGGCAGAAUGCUUAACACAUGCAAGUCGACCGGAAGCUGGGUUUUUAACUGAGGUUUGGGGGGCGGACGGGUGGGUAACGCGUAAAGAACUUGCCUCCUAGCUAGGGGCAGCAGUUGGAAACGAAUGCUAAAACCUAAUAUUAUGAUAAUAGUGCAUCCGAAAAUUAUGAAAGCUGUUAGCGCGGUGAGAGGUCUUUGCGGCCAAUGACCUAGUUGGAGAGGUAGCGGCUCACCAAUGCGAUGAUGGGUAGCCGGCCUGGGAGGGUGAUCCGGCCCAAGGGCACUCAGACACGGCCCUUACGGCUUCGUGGAGCAGCAGUGGGGAAUUUUUCACGAUAGACCGAGUGUCUGAUGAAGCCCUUCUGUUUGCACGAUGAAGUUUUUCGGAAUGUAAAGUGCUUUCAGUUGGGAAGAAACAAAUGACGGUACCAACAGAAGAAGCGCCGGCUAACUACGUG